CUGCACUGAUGACACCUUAGGACACCUUUGGAUAAACCAUGAAAAGAACUUGUUAUAACUGAGCAGC